UGGCCCACCUUUAGGGUAGAAGUGAUGUA
rnacentral:piRNA from 1 species